AAGCCGGAGCUUGCUCUGGUGGAUUAGUGGCGAACGGGUGAGUAACACGUGAGUAACCUGCCCUUGACUCUGGAAUAAGCGUUGGAAACGACGUCUAAUACCGGAUACGAGCUUCCGCCGCAUGGUGAGGAGCUGGAAAGAAUUUCGGUCAAGGAUGGACUCGCGGCCUAUCAGGUAGUUGGUGAGGUAAUGGCUCACCAAGCCUACGACGGGUAG
rnacentral:rRNA from 1 species